AGUGAACGUUGGCGGCGUGGAUUAGGCAUGCAAGUCGAGCGAGAACCGUAGCAAUACGGGGACAGCGGCGAAAGGGACAGUAAUGUGUAGGUACCUACCUCCGGGUUCGGGAUAGCUGCGGGAAACUGCAGGUAAUACCGAAUAACGUCUCCGGACCAAAGGUGUGAUUCCACCUGGAGAGGGGCCUGCAUCCUAUUAGCUUGUUGGGGGGGUAACGGCCCACCAAGGCGACGAUGGGUAGCGGGUGUUGGAGCACGACCCGCGUCAUUGGGACGGAGACACUGCCCAGACACCUACGGGUGGCUGCAGUCGUGAAUCUUCGGCAAUGGGCGCAAGCCUGACCGAGCGACGCCGCGUGCGGGAUGAAGGCCUUCGGGUUGUAAACCGCUGUCGUAGAGGAGGAAAUGCAGGGGGGUUCUCCCCUCUGUUUGACCUAUUCUAGGAGGAAGUACGGGCUAAGUUCGUGCCAGCCGCCGCGGUAA
rnacentral:rRNA from 1 species